AAAAAAAAAAAAAAAAAAAACUCUCCAGCCGUCUCUCUUUUUCCAUCUCUCUUCACCCCUCUCUCUCUCUUCCUUCACCGAGUUUCUCUCUCUCUCUCUCUCUCUCUCUCUCUCCCUAUUGAUCUCUUUUUCUCGUUCUGCGUCUGGAGAUGUCGAGCUGUGACGGAGAUGUUGAGCCGCCCUCGUUCUUCGUUGGAGAUUUCUGCUCCUACCAUCGCUGCGAAUCGCCGUAGAAGAAUAGAGGGAGAAGACUGGUUUUGUCGCGAUUCCGGAUGCGAUUUCGCAAUUUACCCGUUCUAGUUUUGUUGAGUUUUAAUGCCGCGAUUUAAAUGAUUUUGGCUUUCGCCGGAGAUGUUCGGGUGUGGCAGGCUGCGAAAGCCUUUUCCUUUCUCUAUCAUCGCCGCUGCGAAUCCAACGUUCAGAAUCACCCACAACAUCCCGGCAUCCCGACGAUCUAUGCAAUUCCGAUGUUGCAACUUUCUCAUUUAUCGUACCUCAACCCCACUCCAUGUGUUCGACCAAAUGCCGCCAUAGAACUCCUCUUAUGUAGAAUCUGAGUUUGUAAUUUUGAUCUAAGGUCUCCAAAGAUUCCGAGAGAACCAGUUUCAGUUGACCAGAGAACCCGUAGAAGCUCUACUACAAAUACAAUACCAAAAGCGAAAGAGAGGAGAUUUCUGAUCCAAGAAGAGUUCUAAGGAUAAUGAUGAUGGUAAAGAGUGGAAAUUGGAAGAGAAACAUGAAAUGUAUGCAAGAGAAAAUGCUUGCAGAUCAGUUUCAGCUUCUGUAUAUCGAAGAAUUGUGUAGAGGAAUUAUGAUGUGUCUCUUCACAUAACAAAAUAUCGGAUCCACUCUCUGAACUGGCUAAAAGAAUCACAGCUCCUGCAAUGCCUUAUGAAGAAGUUUCAAACCAAAAGCCACAAUAGCCAACUACUUUGGCUUAGCUUGGUUUCUUUCUCCUGCUCCGAGCUUCUUUCUAAGGUAUGAUCUUAUUGGAG